ACGAGCAGCCAUUACAGUCAACUCUCUUGUGGAAUCGUUUUUUUUAGGACAAUCCCUGCGUUUUAACACAUUUAUAUCCUAUUUUUGUACUGACUACAAUAAUGGAGCCUUUUUCUGACCAGAUUGUGAUGUUCAUGCUGGCUGCAAGCAUGGAGGAAGAAAGGGCUGGUGAAUAUCAGGAUUAAAGUCAGCAAAUGUCUGCAUUGGAGUUUUACGUCCUGUUGACGCAAUUUCCCAGCACCGUUUUCUAAGUUUCGUCCUGUUGACGACCUGUUACCCCCUGUUUUUUCCUGUUGUUGGGUUGCCGCAAAUAUUGGACCCGUUUAUCCCACUCUACCAUGGGCAACCUACUUGUGAUGUGGAUCUGAACCUCCGCCAUGUAGCAGACAACACCACUCAGGUCUUGCGGAGUAUCCUUCCCGAUUUGCUUGAAUCAUCCAGGAUGAAAAGGGACACGACAGUUCCCCUGCUGUACCAUGGGCGACCUAACACAAUACCACUGCAUCUCAUAUAUUACAUUUUAUUUACUAAUAAUUUAAAGAAAA